rnacentral:rRNA from 1 species
CCUACGGGUGGCAGCAGUGAGGAAUAUUGGUCAAUGGGCGCGAGCCUGAACCAGCCAAGUCGCGUGAGGGAAGACGGUCCUAUGGAUUGUAAACCUCUUUUGUCGGGGAGCAAAAGACGCCACGCGUGGCGUUCCGAGAGUACCCGAAGAAAAAGCAUCGGCUAAGUCCGUGCCAGCAGCCGCGGUAAUACGGAGGAUGCGAGCGUUAUCCGGAUUUAUUGGGUUUAAAGGGUGCGCAGGCGGAAGGUCAAGUCAGCGGUAAAAUUGAGAGGCUCAACCUCUUCGAGCCGUUGAAACUGGUUUGCUUGAGUGAGCGAGAAGUAUGCGGAAUGCGUGGUGUAGCGGUGAAAUGCAUAGAUAUCACGCAGAACUCCGAUUGCGAAGGCAGCAUACCGGCGCUCAACUGACGCUCAUGCACGAAAGUGUGGGUAUCGAACAGGAUUAGAUACCCGUGUAGUC